UACAGAGGGUGCAAGCGUUGUUCGGAAUUAUUUGGCGUAAAGCGCGUGUAGGCGGCCAUGCAAGUCGGGUGUGAAAGCCCUCGGCUCAACCGAGGAAGAGCGCCCGAAACUGCAAGGCUUGAGUACCGGAGAGGGUGGCGGAAUUCCCCAAGUAGAGGUGAAAUUCGUAGAUAUGGGGAGGAACACCGGUGGCGAAGGCGGCCACCUGGACGGAUACUGACGCUGAGACGCGAAAGCGUGGGGAGCAAACAGG
rnacentral:rRNA from 1 species